rnacentral:rRNA from 1 species
UACGAUAGAGGUCCUGCCUGCCCUGUGACCAUGUGUUCAACGGCCGCGGUAUUUUGACCGUGCAAAGGUAGCGUAAUCACUUGUCUUUUAAAUGAAGACCCGUAUGAAUGGCAAGACGAGGGCUUAGCUGUCUCCUUUUUCAAGUCAAUGAAAUUGAUCUUCCCGUGCAGAAGCGGGAAUUACUUCAUAAGACGAGAAGACCCUAUGGAGCUUUAGACACCAAGACAGCCCACGUCAAAACUCCCUAAUGAAGGACUGAACUAAGUGGACCCUGUCCUAAUGUCUUUGGUUGGGGCGACCACGGGGAAAUACAAAACCCCCGCGUGGACUGGGAGCACCUCUACUCCUACAACUAAGAGCACCCGCUCUAACAAACAGAAUUUCUGACCAACAAGAUCCGGCAACGCCGAUCAACGAACCCAGUUACCCUAGGGAUAACAGCGCAAUCCUCUUUUAGAGCCCAUAUCGACAAGAGGGUUUACGACCUCGAUGUUGGAUCAGGACAUCCUAAUGGUGCAGCCGCUAUUAAGGGUUCGUUUGUUCAACGAUUAAAGUCCU